UACGUAGGUCCCGAGCGUUGUCCGGAUUUAUUGGGCGUAAAGCGAGCGCAGGUGGUUUAUUAAGUCUGGUGUAAAAGGCAGUGGCUCAACCAUUGUAUGCAUUGGAAACUGGUAAACUUGAGUGCAGGAGAGGAGAGUGGAAUUCCAUGUGUAGCGGUGAAAUGCGUAGAUAUAUGGAGGAACACCGGUGGCGAAAGCGGCUCUCUGGCUUGUAACUGACACUGAGGCUCGAAAGCGUGGGGAGCAAACAGG
rnacentral:rRNA from 1 species